AUUGAACGCUGGCGGCAGGCCUAACACAUGCAAGUCGAGCGAGCGGCGGACGGGUGAGUAAUGUAUGGGGACUGCCCGAUAGAGUGGGAUAACUACUGGACACGGUAGCUAAUACCGCAUACUAUCGGAUAACCCAUAUGUGAUUAGCUAGUAGGUGAGGUAAUGGCUCACCUAGGCGACGAUCCCUAGCUGGUCUGAGAGGAUGAUCAGCCAAACUGGGACUGAGACACGGCCCAGACUGCUACGGAGGCAAAAGUAGGGAGUAUUGCACAAUGGGCGCAAGCCUGAAGGAGCAAUGACGAGUGUAUGAAGAAGGCAAUAGGGGUGUAAGGUAAUUUGAGACAAGAAACGUUACCAAAAGAAGAAGCACCGGCUAACUCCGUGACAGCAGCCGCGGUAAUUC
rnacentral:rRNA from 1 species